rnacentral:rRNA from 1 species
GACGAACGCUGGCGGCGUGCUUAACACAUGCAAGUCGAACGGAAAGGCCCCGCUUUUGUGGGGUGCUCGAGUGGCGAACGGGUGAGUAACACGUGAGUAACCUGCCCCUGACUUUGGGAUAACUUCAGGAGGCUGGGGCUAAUACCGGAUAGGAGCUCCUGCUGCAUGGUGGGGGUUGGAAAGUUUCGGCGGUUGGGGAUGGACUCGCGGCUUAUCAGCUUGUUGGUGGGGUAGUGGCUUACCAAGGCGUGGACGGGUAGCCGGCCUGAGAGGGUGACCGGGCCCAGGGGGCUUGGGACAGGAGCAGAGGCCAACGGGGGGCAGCAGGGGGGAGUAUGGCACAACGGGGGAGAGCGGGAGGCAGCGGCGUUGGGGGAGGGAUGACGGGUUGCGGGGGGGAAAACGGUUGCAGCAGAUAAGAAGGGAGGGUGACGGUACCGGAAGAAGAAGCACCGGCUAACUACGUG